AUACGGAGGGUCCGAGCGUUAUCCGGAAUCAUUGGGUUUAAAGGGUCCGUAGGCGGGUAUCUAAGUCAGUGGUGAAAUCUUGCAGCUCAACUGUAAAAUUGCCAUUGAUACUGGAUUUCUUGAAUUAGUGUGAAGUGGUUAGAAUGUGUAGUGUAGCGGUGAAAUGCAUAGAUACUACACAGAAUACCAAUUGCGAAGGCAGAUCACUAACACUAUAUUGACGCUAAGGGACGAAAGCGUGGGGAGCGAACAGGAUUAGAAACCCGAGUAGUCC
rnacentral:rRNA from 1 species